rnacentral:rRNA from 1 species
AUUGAACGCUGGCGGCGUGCUUAACACAUGCAAGUCGAACGCGAAAGGGACUUCGGUCCUGAGUAAAGUGGCGCACGGGUGAGUAACGCGUGGAUAAUCUGCCCUUAUGAUCGGGAUAACAGUUGGAAACGGCUGCUAAUACCGGAUACGCUCAAAAUGAACUUUUUGAGGAAAGAUGGCCUCUGCUUGCAUGCUAUCGCGUAAGGAUGAGUCCGCGUCCCAUUAGCUUGUUGGCGGGGUAACGGCCCACCAAGGCAACGAUGGGUAGCCGAUUUGAGAGGAUGAUCGGCCACACUGGAACUGAAACACGGUCCAGACUCCUACGGGAGGCAGCAGUGGGGAAUAUUGCGCAAUGGGCGAAAGCCUGACGCAGCGACGCCGCGUGAGGGAUGAAGGUUUUCGGAUCGUAAACCUCUGUCAGAAGGGAAGAAACUACAUUGUGCUAAUCAGCAGUGUACUGACGGUACCUUCAAAGGAAGCACCGGCUAACUCCGUGCCAGCAGCCGCGGUAAUACGGAGGGUGCAAGCGUUAAU